AUGCUUCAAGUGCCUAGAGAAGGGGCACUUCCUGAAGGACUGCACGAACAAGGUUGUGUGCCUCUGAUGUGGGUUGCCCGGACAUGUCGCCAGUCAAUGCAAGAGGCCGCGCAGCCCGUCGUCGGUGGAGGAGCUCAGGCGCGAUGCCGCUGCCAAGGUGGCCAGAGGCGCUUCGGGCUCGCGUGUGGGGGCAUGCUCGGGUCCGUCAAGGCCGAGCCUAUCGGCGCCGCGCGCGCUGCCGCCUCCUUCGUCGUCGCCUUCGGGCGUCGCGGCGCCGGCGGAUUGGCCCCGUCCGGCGGGUCCUCGAUUGGUGGUCGCGCCUAA
rnacentral:rRNA from 1 species